UCGCUCUCUACUCCUCCUAGACGCGUCGCCAUUCUCCAUUCACCACUCAGAGCCGAAGAAACCGAGGGAGGAGGUUCUCUGCCUCUCCAUCGCCCCAAACCUUGCCGCCGGCCGUGGAGACGACGACCAUCGCCAUCGCUGAUUGGCCACCGGAACGCGACCACGCCGACGAUGCCCUGGAGCACGCACCGGAGCGCCGCCGCUUCAACCAUCGUUGUCGUCCGGCCAUUCUCAUCCACCUCAGAGAAAGCCGCUGCGCCAUUGUCAUCACCUCAACCUCCUCUUCAAAACGCCUCAAGAACCCCAGCCGGAAACAUCAAGAACACGGAGAACACAUCCUUUUCUUCACCGGCGCCAAUCUAGGAUCGCCUCUGCCGUCAUCGUCGAUUACCGCUGCCUCGCUCAUUGUCCCGUUCGAGCCGUCGUCGUUCACCCGAGGAGGAGCGCCGUCGCCGAGCCGUUCCACAAGUCACCGCUGCCGCCAAGACCUCGACAACCCUAGCUCGACCCACGAUAAUUGCAUAAUCGGUGAAGAAGUGGAUUAGGUGCUAACAAUUCUCUGAUCAAGGCAAGUUUUCUCCUCCCAUCCUUUGAACACAUUGGAUCC